ACAAAUUGGUGGCAUCGAACUGAAAUGUGAAUGGGCAAAACGUUCAGGGACCUGAUGAAGUAAUUACCUUUUUAGAUUGGCUAAAAAAAAUGCCGGCACCAAAUUGAAUUUUUGGUCUAUUUGCAUGUUAGGUUUGUCUCAUUUUGAAAUUAAAUUUAAAUAGUCAUUUUUUAAAGUUUUUUAAAAACAAUAAACUUAAAAAACUAUAUAAAAUUAUUAUUUAAAUUACGCUAUAUGUCCCUCAAAAUUUUUUUUCAAGUUUAUUUAAAUUCAAAUAGGCUAGGAAAUGAAUUGAAAAUGUUUAAAUUUAGAUAAAC
rnacentral:lncRNA from 1 species